rnacentral:rRNA from 1 species
CCUACGGGAGGCAGCAGUGAGGAAUAUUGGUCAAUGGGCGCGAGCCUGAUCCAGCCAAGUAGCGUGAAGGAUGACUGCCCUACGGGUUGUAACCUUCUUUUAUAAAGGCAUAAAGUGAGGCACGUGUGCCUUUUUGUAUGUCCUUUAUGAAUACGGCUCGGCUAACUCCGUGCCAGCAGCCGCGGUAAUACGGAGGAACCGAGCGUUAUCCGGAUGUAUUGGGUUUAAAGGGAGCGGAGAUGGGUUGUUAAGUUAGGUGUGAAAGGUUGCGGCUCAACCGUAAAAUUGCAAUUGAUACUGGCAGUCUUGAGUACAGUUGAGGUAGGCGGAAUUCGUGGUGUAGCGGUGAAAUGCUUAGAUAUCACGAAGAACUCCGAUUGCGAAGGCAGCUUACUAAACUGCCACUGACAUUGAUGCUCGAAAGUGUGGGGAGCAAACAGGAUUAGAUACCCCAGUAGUC